GAUGAACGCUGGCGGCGUGCUUAACACAUGCAAGUCGAACGAUUAAACUGGCUUCGGCCAGAUAUAGAGUGGCGAACGGGUGAGUAACACGUGACCAACCUGCCCCGCGCUCCGGGACAACCGCUGGAAACGGCGGCUAAUACCGGAUGCUCCGGGGAGGCCCCAUGGCCUCCCCGGGAAAGCCUUAACGGCGCGGGAUGGGGUCGCGGCCCAUUAGGUAGACGGCGGGGUAACGGCCCACCGUGCCCGCGAUGGGUAGCCGGACUGAGAGGUCGACCGGCCACAUUGGGACUGAGAUACGGCCCAGACUCCUACGGGAGGCAGCAGUGGGGAAUUUUGCGCAAUGGGGGGAACCCUGACGCAGCAACGCCGCGUGCGGGACGAAGGCCUUCGGGUUGUAAACCGCUUUCAGCAGGGAAGACUUUGACGGUAC
rnacentral:rRNA from 1 species